UGUCCUACGGGGGGCAGCAGUGGGGAAUAUUGCACAAUGGGGGAAACCCUGAUGCAGCGACGCCGCGUGAGUGAAGAAGUAUGUCGGUAUGUAAAGCUCUAUCAGCAGGGAAGAUAAUGACGGUACCUGAGUAAGAAGCCCCGGCUAACUACGUGCCAGCAGCCGCGGUAAUACGUAGGGGGCAAGCGUUAUCCGGAUUUACUGGGAGUAAAGGGAGCGUAGACGGCAGGGCAAGUCUGAAGUGAAAGCCCGGGGCGCAACAGCGGGACUGCUUUGGAAACUAUGAAGCUGGAGUGCAGGAGAGG
rnacentral:rRNA from 1 species